UAAGAUUAUUGAGCCUCUGAAAAGUUAGUGUACCGUCUGUCGAAAGGGAUGGAGUCCACGGACCGAGAGAGCGGGCGUGGAUCGUCCAUUAGCCGCGGUGGGACUUUAAAAAUUCAUACAAAAAUGAAAAAUGAACCCUGGCUUUUUUGUCGGCCAUAUAUGGAUUAAACAAAGUAAAAUUAGUUAAACGUCUCUAAGGAAAAUAAAAUCUACUCGUGCUAAAAUAUUACAAAUUUACAAUAUUAAACAAGCGUAUAUGCACAAAAGGAAUGAAGCACAACAAUGAAAACUUAUAAGGUGGCAAUUUCAUUCAUACAAUGUAUAUAUAGAAGUGUGAAGAAAAAACAUGAGAGGUGAAAUGGGGUUGUUUUUCAUGCAAAAGUAAGCUUAAAAAGAUAGAGAGAGAAAAUGUUUGAUAAACGCUUAAUACCAAAGAGACCCCAUCACAAUAAAAAAUCAAGUCACAGUCAUCAUUCUUCCUCGUUAUAUACUUCAUCAAAUCUCAUGAACAGAAAUCUAAUAAGAUACUACAGUUUAUCAAGCUGGGAUCCAUGGAUUCCAUGUGUUAUGGUUAAAAGUAAUGUGCAACUUUUUUUAUAUAAAUUUGUAUAGUGAAAUAUAAAGAAAAGGAGAAAAAGAAAGGAAAGAAAGAUGGAGAUGGUGCCUUGGGCCAUACUUAAAAAAGGAACAUACAAAACACGUUGAUGUGGCUGCCUUCAGUCUCGAUUAUCCAAGGUGGAGCACUGUGGUUGGUUGGUGUCUUGAUUUGGGUCCAUAACUCCAUAUAUGCUAUUUAGUAGAUCUAACGUCUAUAUAUAAAGAUAGUGUAAUUAAUAUUUCAUAUUUGCAAGAGGCCAAGAGCCUCAGACACUGUAAGAGAAAUGGGGUGGCUCAAUUCCUUCUUCUCUCCCUUGAAGAAACUAUGGUAUCGCGUCAAUUCUGCUCAAAAGAAGAGAAGAGGAAUAUACGUAUUAUACGAGGACGUGAAGUCAUGUCCAUGCGAAGAUGUGCAUGUUUUGUGGUCUAUACUCGUGGAGUCUCACCCACAUACUUUGCAACCCAAACAAUAAAAAUUUCAUUUCUUUUGAUGUUUAACUCUCUUUUGGUUCAGAUGGUUCAUAUAUGUAUCGACUGUAUAUGCGCAAGGACGAGACAAAGGAGAAACUUGUAAGCGACAUCAUUCAUACAUAUGUUUUCUCUCACUUGUACAUAAUAAUAUAAAUACACAGAGAUAUUAUCUUUCCCAUUGAGGUUCAUAUUCUCUCUCGCGACUCUAUAUAUGUAUGUACGGUUCUCUCUUGAGGUCGUAUGUCUAUAUACUUUAUAAAUAUCGGUAUAUAUAGAUUGCAUUA